GACCAGCGUUUUGAGGACUAAUAGUCCGUG
rnacentral:sRNA from 1 species